CGCAGCGUGGCGCCGCCAUCUUGGUGCAGGCGGCGGGACGGCGCGGCCGCCAUUUGGUGGCGUCCGAUCUGUUGAAUGUUUCCAGCGUUGUUAAUUUUUAUUGCAAAGUCAGGCCAUUCGGCCCAACCCAUCCAUGCUGGUCUUUGUGCCCUACUGGCGCCUCCUCCCACCCUUCUUCAUCUAAAUCUGUCAACGUAUCCACACCGCAUUGAUUCAAGAACAGCCACCUUCUCAGGGGCAAUUUGGGAUGAGCACAAAGCUCACAUCUCAUGAAAGAAUUCUUAAAAAGCUGCUAUUCCUUUCUGUCUCAUGGGUUUAUCCAGCUUCCCCUUAACUGCACCUGUACUUCUUGCUGCACCACUCCCCGUGGUAGCCACCCCUGCAUUCCCAGCACUUUUUGCCCGACAAAAUCUGUUCCGAAUUCUCCAUUGGAUUUCUUGGCCGCUCUUCUUGUAUUGUGAGCGGUGCUUGAGUUGAUAGCGCACGUCUCUGAGUCAGAAGGCUUGUUGCUUUAAGUCCUGUUUUUGAAUGCGAACAUCAGGGCAACACAGGACUGAGGGAGUGCUGCACCAGAUGCCAACUUUUAAAUGAAACACUAAUAAGCUGAGGCUCUGCCUGCCCCCUCAGAUGAAUGUAACCCAUGCACUACUUCAGAUGAAUGUAAAAGAUCCCGUGCACUAUUUGGAGGAAGAGCAGAGGAAUUAUAUAGCAGCCCUUGCUAAUGUUUAGGCCACCAUCAACAUCACCAAAAUAUUAUGUGGUGAUUAUCAGAUGCCUUUGGUGUGAGCUUACUGUGCAUGAAUUGGCAGCCAUGUUUCCUGUGUCGCAACAGUGAAUACACUUCAAAAGACAGGGAAUUGUAGAGAUCCCUCAAGCUGUACGUCUCACAAUGAAUGUAUGCAUUGACUACUAAUUGUAUUAUAAUUGUAUUGAAGCACCUCAGAGUGCAACAUGAUGUAUGUCGAUUACUCCGACACCAUUGCACAGUCUGUAACGACCAUAUUGAAAUUAUUGUAAUAUUCAUUGAUUGUGUUGAAGUACCUCAUGGUCCAUGUGUAAAAGUUGAAUCUGAUUGCACUUUUUGUAAUGGUGAUUUAGAAAUGUUUUGGAAUGUUCUUCCAGAUAUUUUAUGAAUAAAAUAUUUUUUCAAAAAAAGGGAAUACACUUCAAAAGGUACCUCAUUGGCUGGAAAGUGCUUUGUGAAGUCCCAUGGUUGUGAAAGGUGUUAUAUAAAUGCAAUCCUUCUUUCUAUUGCUCAACCAUGGUUAUUCCACAUUACCACUCUCUUGGUAAAGUGGUUUCUUCUGAAUUCCCCACUUGGUUUUUGGCGUCAAUCUUAAAAUGAUUGUCUCUAUAACUUUUCUCUGGAAAACAUUCUGUGCCUACCAUACCAAAACCUACCAUAAUUGUAGAGAUCACUUUUCAGGUACCCCUCAUCCUUCUCUUUUUAAGGGAAGAGACCCAGCCUGUUUAUCCUCUCCUGAUAUGGUACCAGGUUUCUGGUAUCAUCUUCGGGAAUCUUUUAUCACCCUCUCCAGUGCCUCUUUUUUUAGGAUAUGCUGACCAGACUUGUAUGCAGUAGUCCUAGUGCAGCCUGACUGCGGUUCAGUACGGGUUCAGGCUUCUAACUGUGUGUCAUCUGUUGUUGCUUUUCCAUGUUCAGCAGAGAGACAUUCAACUAACGGAUUUUCUCAAAUUUUAUCCACAACCCAUAAUUACUAACAAACUCACAUCAUUAGACACCGAGCCUAAAAAUCAGACCUCCAAUGUCUGGGAUUAUAUUCUAGGACAUUUCUGAUGAUCUUACUUUCUUUCUGACAGUUAAAAAAAGACAAUUUCUGCUUCCCAUACUGCCUAGUGUACUAGAAAUCAUUUUAGUUUUCACAUUGUAUUUAAAAAUUUUAAGAUCAAAAUCCAUUGAAAAGAAUAGCUGUGUACUUUUCUAAUGUCUUGAGAGUGUUUGAUUUUUAAAAAUCAUUUACAAAGCCAUAACAUAGAAGAGUGAAAUUUGUGAUUGUAAAGAAUAAGAUAUCCACAAACCUGUUAUUUUCAAUAGCAGGAUACAUUAAACAUGUUCUAUUUUUGAUUCUGAGAAAGGCAGUUGUUGUCAAUUUCUACUGCAUUUCUUUGUUUCCUUAUAACUGCCCCGAUUCUUGUUUUUUAGAUUGCAUUUUUCAUGCUAUUUUGUUUUGAACCGUAUUUAACAUGAUUCAACAAUAAAAUUUCUAAUUUCA